GAACGCUGGCGGCGUGCUUAACACAUGCAAGUCGAACGGAAAGGCCCUGCUUUUGUGGGGUGCUCGAGUGGCGAACGGGUGAGUAACACGUGAGUAACCUGCCCUUGACUUUGGGAUAACUUCAGGAAACUGGGGCUAAUACCGGAUAGGAGCUCCUGCUGCAUGGUGGGGGUUGGAAAGUUUCGGCGGUUGGGGAUGGACUCGCGGCUUAUCAGCUUGUUGGUGGGGUAGUGGCUUACCAAGGCUUUGACGGGUAGCCGGCCUGAGAGGGUGACCGGCCACAUUGGGACUGAGAUACGGCCCAGACUCCUACGGGAGGCAGCAGUGGGGAAUAUUGCACAAUGGGCGGAAGCCUGAUGCAGCAACGCCGCGUGCGGGAUGACGGCCUUCGGGUUGUAAACCGCUUUCGCCUGUGACGAAGCGUGAGUGACGGUAAUGGGUAAAGAAGCACCGGCUAACUACGUGCCAGCAGCCGCGGUGAUACGUAGGGUGCGAGCGUUGUCCGGAUUUAUUGGGCGUAAAGGGCUCGUAGGUGGUUGAUCGCGUCGGAAGUGUAAUCUUGGGGCUUAACCCUGAGCGUGCUUUCGAUACGGGUUGACUUGAGGAAGGUAGGGGAGAAUGGAAUUCCUGGUGGAGCGGUGGAAUGCGCAGAUAUCAGGAGGAACACCAGUGGCGAAGGCGGUUCUCUGGGCCUUUCCUGACGCUGAGGAGCGAAAGCGUGGGGAGCGAACAGGCUUAGAUACCCUGGUAGUCCACGCUGUAAACGGUGGGUACUAGGUGUGGGGUCCAUUCCACGGGUUCCGUGCCGUAGCUAACGCUUUAAGUACCCCGCCUGGGGAGUACGGCCGCAAGGCUAAAACUCAAAGGAAUUGACGGGGCCCCGCACAAGCGGCGGAGCAUGCGGAUUAAUUCGAUGCAACGCGUAGAACCUUACCUGGGUUUGACAUGGAUCGGGAGUGCUCAGAGAUGGGUGUGCCUCUUUUGGGGUCGGUUCACAGGUGGUGCAUGGCUGUCGUCAGCUCGUGUCGUGAGAUGUUGGGUUAAGUCCCGCAACGAGCGCAACCCUUGUUCACUGUUGCCAGCACGUUAUGGUGGGGACUCAGUGGAGACCGCCGGGGUCAACUCGGAGGAAGGUGGGGAUGACGUCAAGUCAUCAUGCCCCUUAUGUCCAGGGCUUCACGCAUGCUACAAUGGCUGGUACAGAGAGUGGCGAGCCUGUGAGGGUGAGCGAAUCUCGGAAAGCCGGUCUCAGUUCGGAUUGGGGUCUGCAACUCGACCUCAUGAAGUCGGAGUCGCUAGUAAUCGCAGAUCAGCAACGCUGCGGUGAAUACGUUCCCGGGGCUUGUACACACCGCCCGUCAAGUCAUGAAAGUUGGUAACACCCGAAGCCGGUGGCCUAACCGUUGUGGGGGAGCCGUCGAAGGUGGGACUGGUGAUUAGGACUA
rnacentral:rRNA from 1 species